rnacentral:tRNA from 1 species
GCUUUCAGCUCAGUGGUUAGAGCUUAGGCCUCGUAACCGAAAGCUCGCGGGAUCGAAUCCCGCUAGAAUCU